UAGGUCUCCCUGGAAGUGAUUCCCUAAAGGUCCCUGGUAGACCACCAGGUUGAUAGGCUGGAGGUGUACGCGCAGCGAUGCGCUCAGCUGACCAGUACUAAUAGACCGUGAGUCUUAACCUCUCUAUUCU
rnacentral:rRNA from 1 species